rnacentral:rRNA from 1 species
UACGGAGGGUGCGAGCGUUGUUCGGAAUCACUGGGCGUAAAGCGCGUGUAGGCGGUCUGCUAAGUCCGAUGUGAAAGCCCGGGGCUCACCCCCGGAAGUGCAUUGGAAACUGACAGACUGGAGUCUCGGAGAGGAGGGUGGAAUUCCUGGUGUAGCGGUGAAAUGCGUAGAUAUCAGGAGGAACACCGGUGGCGAAGGCGGCCCUCUGGACGGUGACUGACGCUGAGACGCGAAAGCGUGGGGAGCAAACAGG